rnacentral:rRNA from 1 species
GUAGGGAAUAUUGGGCAAUGGAUGCAAGUCUGACCCAGCCAUCCCGCGUGCCGGAAGAAGGCCCUCAGGGUUGUAAACGGCUUUUGACGGUGAAGAAUCGACAGGAUGCGUCCUGUUUUGACGGUAGCCGUUGAAUAAGCACCGGCUAACUCCGUGCCAGCAGCCGCGGUAAUACGGAGGGUGCGAGCGUUGUCCGGAUUUAUUGGGUUUAAAGGGUGCGUAGGCUGGAUGGUCAGUCAGCGGUGAAAAGCUGUCGCUUAACGUUAGUCUUGCCGCAGAUACUUCCUUUCUUGGAUGAGGAGGAGGCCACUGGAACGGAUGGUGUAGCGGAGAAAUGCAUAGAUAUCAUCCAGAACACCGAUUGCGAAGGCAGGUGGCUGUACCUUAAUCGACGCUGAUGCACGAAAGCAUGGGGAGCAAACAGGAUUAGAAACCCUGGUAGUCC